UACGUAGGGGGCAAGCGUUGUCCGGAAUCAUUGGGCGUAAAGCGCGCGUAGGCGGCCCGGUAAGUCCGUUGUGAAAGUCAAAGGCUCAACCUUUGAACGCCGAUGGAUACUGCCGGGCUAGAGUCCGGAAGAGGCGAGUGGAAUUCCUGGUGUAGCGGUGGAAUGCGCAGAUAUCAGGAGGAACACCGAUGGCGAAGGCAGGUCUCUGGGCCAUUACUGACACUGAGAAGCGAAAGCAUGGGGAGCGAACAGG
rnacentral:rRNA from 1 species